UACGUAGGGGGCUAGCGUUGUCCGGAAUCAUUGGGCGUAAAGAGCGCGUAGGCGGCUAGAUAAGUCCGGUGUGAAAGUCACAGGCUCAACCUGUGAAUGCCGCUGGAAACUGUCUGGCUAGAGUCCGGAAGGGGCGAGUGGAAUUCCUGGUGUAGCGGUGAAAUGCGCAGAUAUCAGGAGGAACACCAAUGGCGAAGGCAGCUCGCUGGGACGGUACUGACGCUGGAGGCGCGAAAGCGUGGGGAGCAAACAGG
rnacentral:rRNA from 1 species